AGAUACCGUCGUAGUCCUAACUAUAAACGAUGUCAACCAAGGAUUGGAUAAACCAAAAGUAGGAUUUUGGAAAGGAUCAUUGAUCCUGGAAGAAGUUUUACUAACAUUACCUUAUUCAGAACUUAAAGAGAAAUCUUGAGUUUAUGGACUUCAGGGGGAGUAUGGUCACAAGGCUGAAACUUAAAGGAAUUGACGGAAGGGCACACCAGGAGUGGAGCCUGCGGCUUAAUUUGACUCAACACGGGAAAACUUACCAAGACCG
rnacentral:rRNA from 1 species